rnacentral:rRNA from 1 species
UUGGUCUUUUUAUUUUUUAUUUUUUUUUUUUCGUUGCAAAGAUGGGUUGAAAGAGAAGGGCUUUCACAAAGCUUCCCGAGCGUGAAAGGAUUUGCCCGGACAGUUUGCUUCAUGGAGCAGUUUUUUCCGCACCAUCAGAGCGGCAAACAUGAGUGCUUGUAUAAGUUUAGAGAAUUGAGAAAAGCUCAUUUCCUAUAGUUAAUAGGACAUGCCUUUGAUAUGAAAAAAAUACUACGAACUACGAUUUUACCAAGAAAGAUGUAAGAGACAAGUGAACAGUGAACAGUGAUAGUGGGGACAUUUUUUUUUUUUAAGUAAAUGGCAGUUUCUAGGGAAUGAUGAUGGCAAGUUCCAGAGAGGCAGCGUAAAAGGAUGAGGCUACUGGGAAGAAGAAAGAGGAAAAGUGCAAGAUGAAUAGCCAGUGCAAUAUAUACAUGUAUACUUAACAGAUAUGGAAUGGUUGGCGAAGUAAAUUUUUGGCGACGCGGUAUGCGGAGUUGUAAGAUGUACUACGAUCAUAUAGUGUAAUGCGGCAAAAUGUUAGUGCAGGAAAGCGGGAAGGAAUAAGAAGCAACUAAACGAGGGUGUAGAAAAAGACGAAGAGGGAAAUGGAGGGAAGAGAACAAAACCGGAGUGUUUUUUUUGUAGGAAUAUCGGAGGAGAAUAUUGUUUGUACAUAUCAAGUAGUAGCAACCCAAUGAGCAUAAUGGAGUGCUUAACUCUUCAGAAGAAGAGUGCAGCUGGAUAGUGCGAAUUUUUCUGAAUCGAAUGGUAGGUUAGUUAUGGGAUUUAGCAUAGGAAGCCAAGAAACUAGAAAAAAAAAAAAAAAAAAAAGAAAUAAA